GCUGGGUGUGGUGGCGCACGCCUGUAAUCCCAGCUACUUGGGAGGCUGAGGCAGGAGAAUUGCUUGAACCCAGAAGGCGGAAGUUGCAGUGAGCUGAGAUCAUGCCAUUGCACUCCAGCCUGGGCAACAGAGUGAGACUCUGUCUCAA
rnacentral:SRP_RNA from 1 species